UACGAAGGGGGCUAGCGUUGUUCGGAUUUACUGGGCGUAAAGCGCACGUAGGCGGAUCGUUAAGUCAGGGGUGAAAUCCUGGAGCUCAACUCCAGAACUGCCUUUGAUACUGGCGAUCUUGAGUCCGGAAGAGGUGAGUGGAACUCCUAGUGUAGAGGUGGAAUUCGUAGAUAUUAGGAAGAACACCAGUGGCGAAGGCGGCUCACUGGUCCGGUACUGACGCUGAGGAGCGAAAGCGUGGGGAGCGAACAGG
rnacentral:rRNA from 1 species